GUUCGCCUGGCCCUGCUUUGUUUUUCUAUAACAAACCAGGUAGUUACCAUGCAAGGAUUUGUAGGCUAAUUACUAGAUUACAUUGAUAUCGAAGGAACUAGAUUCGGUUCUGAAAUAUCACAUACUCGAACCAACCUGCCCGUGUAGCUCAGUUGGCAGAGCAUUGGGCUAGUAUUACAAAGGUAGUAGGUUUUUCAAGCUUGCCAGGUGUGGAUAUACACUCAUAGUAACAUCAUAAGCAUGUAUUCACAUGACUAAAUUACACCAACACAGAAAAAAGUUUUUGUGUUGUGAGUGUAUACAUGCAAAUAUUUUCUCAAAUGUAAUUUUGUGUUGAGAUGUAAAUAUAGAUGACAGCGAGGGGAAAUAACACAGUUAUUGAGAGAGCUCCAGAACAAAGAGGUUCAGACUGCACGCCUUUGUAUGAUAAUUAUCAAAUCUGCACGUGCAGACUGUGCACAAACGCACGCAAAUAGUUAAAAUUUGCAUAAUAAGUACCUUGUUUUUGCAGUAUAAAAACACCAGAGUAGUACCAGGGGAACUAAACAUUAUUUAGCAAGGGAGCGCCAAAGAAAUCUUCAUGCUUGAACUUUGACUCAUUGCUGACUUCAAGUUCUAUUCUGUCGAAACAUCAAGUGUGUUAUUUGCAGCAAGCUACAAGAUGGUUUGCCAUAAAGUUUUCUCUGCAAUUCUGAUAAUAUUUUGUCUCGUCCAUGCGAACUUUGGUGCGCAUAAUAGCGAACUGUAGAUAAGGUAUUCUUAUCUACAACUUAAACAUUUUGCGAACUAUAUUUCGUAGAACUGAGUUGCGCCAGCUAAACGUUUGGAAAGAUUGUAAGACUAUCAAGGGAGUGAACUGGAGAUAAGGUAUUCUUAUCUACAACUUAAACAUUUUGCGAACUAUAUUUCGUAGAACUGAGUUGCGCCAGCUAAACGUUUGGAAAGAUUGUAAGACUAUCAAGGGAGUGAACUGGAGAUAAGGUAUUCUUAUCUACAACUUAAACAUUUUGCGAACUAUAUUUCGUAGAACUGAGUUGCGCCAGCUAAACGUUUGGAAAGAUUGUAAGACUAUCAAGGGAGUGAACUGGAGAUAAGGUAUUCUUAUCUACAACUUAAACAUUUUGCGAACUAUAUUUCGUAGAACUGAGUUGCGCCAGCUAAACGUUUGGAAAGAUUGUAAGACUAUCAAGGGAGUGAACUGGAGAUAAGGUAUUCUUAUCUACAACUUAAACAUUUUGCGAACUAUAUUUCGUAGAACUGAGUUGCGCCAGCUAAACGUUUGGAAAGAUUGUAAGACUAUCAAGGGAGUGAACUGGAGAUAAGGUAUUCUUAUCUACAACUUAAACAUUUUGCGAACUAUAUUUCGUAGAACUGAGUUGCGCCAGCUAAACGUUUGGAAAGAUUGUAAGACUAUCAAGGGAGUGAACUGGAGAUAAGGUAUUCUUAUCUACAACUUAAACAUUUUGCGAACUAUAUUUCGUAGAACUGAGUUGCGCCAGCUAAACGUUUGGAAAGAUUGUAAGACUAUCAAGGGAGUGAACUGGAGAUAAGGUAUUCUUAUCUACAACUUAAACAUUUUGCGAACUAUAUUUCGUAGAACUGAGUUGCGCCAGCUAAACGUUUGGAAAGAUUGUAAGACUAUCAAGGGAGUAACUAAUCCAUCCUUAGUCAUUUCAUUUAAAAUGGAGAUAUAUGUAACAGCCCUAUACGUUCUGAACAGUUCUCCUUUAUUCAUGGUCAAAAUUUAUUGUUUAAGCUAUGCAAAUAGCAUUUUUUCGUUAGGUAUGUAACUCGCUCCAACAGAUAUAGCGAUUUUUUCAACCACUCUAAAAUUGUCAGCCUGUUAAUCAUAAAUAUAAAAAAUAAAGUUUCGUUUUAUUGAUUGCAAGGACUGCGAUUCGUACUCACUACUGAGCCCCUACAAAAACUUGCUGACACCGGCGAAACUGAAUUUCAUUAUCCCACCUACUGGGAAGCUGUUCGUUUCAAUUUGUGCUGCAGAAAUCAUCCGUUAUAUGGUAGCUCAUAAUAUCUGCAAGGGUCAAUAGGGUGCUGAUGUAGCAGUGAACUUCAAUAUAAUAAAUUUUAUUUCGAAACAAUCUAGUUUAUUUACAACAGUAUUAAAACAGGUUUAGCUAAUUCGUCAUUGUUCAUUCGAUAGGGAUAAAAUAAAUAAUGAUAAUGUUGUUCAAUCGGAUGUCCAAGAUUCAAACUAUCCACCGCAAGGCCUGCCGGGAAGAGAUGG